UACGUAGGGCGCAAGCGUUGUCCGGAAUUAUUGGGCGUAAAGAGCGUGUAGGCGGCCAGACAGGUCCGUUGUGAAAACUAGAGGCUUAACCUCUAGACGUCGAUGGAAACCGUCUGGCUAGAGUCCGGAAGAGGAGAAUGGAAUUCCUGGUGUAGCGGUGAAAUGCGCAGAUAUCAGGAAGAACACCCGUGGCUAAGGCGGUUCUCUAGUACGGUACUGACGCUGAGACGCGAAAGCGUGGGAGGCGAACAGG
rnacentral:rRNA from 1 species